rnacentral:rRNA from 1 species
CACGGGGGGAGCAAGCGUUGUUCGGAAUCACUGGGCGUAAAGGGCGUGUAGGCGGUCAAGUAAGUGGAAUGUGAAAGCCCCCGGCUCACCCGGGGAUCUGCAUCCCAAACUGCUUGGCUUGAGUACGGGAGAGGAUAGGGGAAUUCCUGGUGUAGCGGUGAAAUGCGUAGAUAUCAGGAGGAACACCGGUGGCGAAGGCGCCUAUCUGGCCCGAUACUGACGCUGAGGCGCGAAAGCGUGGGGAGCAAACAGG